AGAUAAUCCCCCAGAAUCCAGGACUGAGAAAAAUCCUGCAAAAAAUUGCUGGGUUGAGGGUGAAGAAGUUUCAUCAGUGAGAAUGGUUUACUUAUGCAGGGUGCUCAAAGGACAGCACAGAACAAGUUUUCAGACAAGAAUCGUGCCUCAGGAAUCAUCUCUGCCCAGUUAUCAGAGAUCAUCAGUGUCAAAACCCUGGAAUAUACAGCUUGAAAUAAGGAGCAGUGUAACAGUGUCAUUGUAAACUGUGAUAAGAUUCAUAUUGAGUUUGGCAAGCCGUGUAUCAGAAAGAAAAUCUGAUAGUCAGUUUUAAACUAAACUAGCCAAAUAGAUAUAUGAGCUCAGUUUGAGUCUGGGCCCUGUGUUCAAACCCUGCUAGAGUUCUGCAUUUCUGAAAAUGAAAAUGCUGGAAUUUCCAGAAAACCAUGUGGAAGACACCCAUAGCCCUUCUGCACAAUCUUGUUGACAUACUCUUUCCAUAGUUGAGACUAUUUUGAUUUUUCUUUGACUAUUAAAAAGCUGCU
rnacentral:lncRNA from 1 species